UAAGGGCGGCGGAGAGGUGGGGCCGCCGCCGCUGGGGAGAGCGUGUCCCUCCCCGCCGCCAUCGCAGACCCGCGGGAGCCCCCAUUGCACCCCCCCCCCCCGGCUGUGCUUUGGGACCCUUCCGCCCCCGCUGCGCCCGGCGCCACUGCAAAGCGCCCAGCCCGCGCGGCUCGGCCCCGGCCCCGGCCGCAGGGGGCCUGUCUCCUGCCUGGGGCUCCGCGCGGGACCCAAGCGCCCUCCACGGACCUCCUGCCUGUGCGGCGCGGCCGCCUCAGCGCCGCGGGGUGACUCCCUCCGCCCCAGCGGGGGGCCCUGCCUGGCACCUGGGCCGGGGACGCUUCAGCGGCACCAUCUUGUGUGUGUGAGGAGGGAGCCUCUCCAAGCGGCCCCCACUCCGGCCUUUGAGCACGACCCACGCCGGCGCGAAGCCCGCUUUGGCUCAGCUGUUGGACUCGCUCGCUCAGGCCUCCCCCCGCGCCGGCGGCCGAGCUUUCCGCAGCCGGGGCCGCGCGGGCGGAGAUGCUCCGGCUCCACGGGGUGGGGCGGCUGGCGGGGCCGAGCUGCCCGCUCCGCAGGCGCAGCGCUACGUGGAGGAGCGCCACCAAAAAUGCAUCGGUUUCGGAAGUGCUGCAGCUGGGGGAUAAAAAGCUCCCGGGCGUCGUUUUCCCCCUCCAGGGCCUAGAGAAGUAUCUAGCCCCGGACGUGAACACUGCGAGCUUCCGGACUUUCAGCCCCAGCCUGGCUGACCUCCACAGGGCAGAGGGGUUUUUCAGACCCUCGGGCAGACACGUGAUUCAUUAUUUCAGCUCUGCCAUCCGCAUGGACCAUGCACCACAGCUGUCGCAGCCCGAGGUGUGCUUUUUGGGCAGAAGCAAUGUUGGGAAAUCCUCCUUAAUAAAGGCUUUGUUUUCACUGGCUCCAGACGUUGAAGUCAGAGUGUCAAAAACUCCAGGCCACACAAAGAAAAUGAAUUUCUUCAAAGUGGGGAAAUACUUUACGGUGGUGGACAUGCCAGGCUAUGGCUACCGAGCCCCCCAAGACUUUGCUGACAUGGUGGAGGCCUAUUUACAAGAGCGUCAGAACUUGAAGAGGACAUUCUUAUUAGUGGACAGCUUGGUAGGAUUGCAGAAAGCAGACCACAUUGCCAUAGAAAUGUUGGAGGAGUUUGGGAUCCCUUACGUUCUUGUGUUAACCAAAAUCGACAAAGUUCCCAAGGGAUUGUUAGUGAAAAAUGUACUGGAGAUCCAGGACUUUGCAGAGAAACACACUCAGGGGUGCUUUCCUCAACUCUUCCCAGUCAGUUCCAUAGAGUAUUCUGGCAUCCAUCUGCUGAGGUGUUUUAUAACCCAUGUUACAGGAAACCUUCCCCUGAUGAAUUCCUGACAGACCUACCUCUCCGUGUCCACAACUCUCCUGUUGUACUCUACCCAUCCAGCACAACAGGGCUUCCUAUCUGGAGGUGGAAAGGACUUAUCCUUUAAGAAGUUAUGAGAGGAUGAUGCCUGCAAAGGAAGUCUGGUAUACAGGCUGCAUGGAGUUAUGUGGUACCUCUGCCAGGAGGUAAUGCCACUCUGUGCCCCAAAAGGAAAUUACCCUAAUGUAAUCAAGCACCACUGGCUACAAGCUGCGAGGGCUCUCCACCACCCCAUCAGUUCCUAGGAGAAAGAGCAGAUGAACUAAUAGCAGGAGGAAAGCUGUGACUCUGAUGGAAGAAUUAGUACUUACAUGGCAUCUAUUGCCUUAGAGAGCAAGGCCUGAGGAUUUCAAGGCAGGGGGUUCACCUCUCCUUUUUGUACUGCGUUCUCUUGUUUAGCACUGAUUUCACUGCACAUCUCAGAGAACAAGCUGAAAUUCUUUAGUGAUGACAACUGACCAUAAGGGAGGGAACUUCCAUGGCAAAUGAAGUACAUGCUACAUAUCUGGCCCUACAUUGUCCCUCAGUGGCAGCCUCCUAUUCAGGGGCACAUAAUAGUGUGAGAAGUUUAUCCCACAGCUAAGUUGCAUCUAUUCAGCAAUGCCCACUACACAGCCUAGCUAUAGUGUUACUGAUGGGUAAGAUUUUCUUCCCCCAAGAUUGCCCAUUCUUAAGCUCUGUUUACACUGAUGGUGUGUGGAGAGUACAGGCUCUGUUCACACUUGUCACUGCAGUGGCUAGCUGUAUGCCAUGGCAAGUCUUCAAGAGGGGGAAGUGGCUGGAGCUGUUCAUGGGGGCAGGGGAAGGCUUGAGUAGGAGGAUGUUACACUGCUAAAAAUAGCUCUGUAGAACAAGGAGGUACUCCUGGGGGUUCCAGUGUGUAGGGCACUCUGUUCACCUAAGCAGUGCUGUUAAUACCAGUGUAAGCUGGGCAUGCUGUGCCUGUACUCUACAUGUGACUUAAGUGUAGAUUACGAGGCUGUGUGGUCUAGUUUAUGUCUGCUCAUAAAAGGAAAUGCUUUUUUACCCAACCUAGUUGACCUCAGGAAUUCACUGUCAGAUGUUAAUCCUACUACGUGAUAGUAGCCAUUCCUCGAGACUGGGAGUUGCUGGAACAGUAGCCUAGUGCAGUACGCUAAUUCCUAUGUGCUGAAAGCAAGAGAGAUCGAUCAGAGUAGUUAGGAGUUAUAGCCCUGACUCUCCCUUUGUUCUGCUUGAAGGGUCUGAUUCAAUAUAUACCCACUGUUAGAAGUGCUCAGUAUCAUAACAGCAGAUGUGCUGUCCCAGAUGGUACAGCUCUCAGGGGCAAAGUGUGCCACAUGCUAUAGCUCAGUAUCCAUUCUUGGUGAAUAGUUUCAGCAUGCUAGCAAACAUUUUUCAGAAGCAUCCACUCAGUUUUGAGUGCUGCAUGCUCUGGGGUCUUCCAAGUUGAGCAUCCAAAAUUAAUGGACACUUCUGCACAGUGUGGCUUAAAUCCUAGAGCUUGAUAUACAGCUGCCUGCAAAACCCAAGGUUCUUAAAAAAAACCCACUAUACCAACUGCUAGCAAAAAUCUUUACAAAAUACCUUUGACUGAUUCAUUUUUAAAUACAUAGUUUACAUUUGUAAGAAUUUAAUAAAUAUAUACUUAGACAGCACAGUAUGGACCAGAUCCUGUAGUCCUUGUACAUAUGUAACUAUCAUUGGAUUGACUUCCUUGGGACUUCAUGGAAGGAAUGUAGGACUGGACCACAUUACAGUUGUGCUACAGAAAAAAUGCCUAGGUGAAGUCCUCCAUGCAAGGGUUAUAGAGCAUCAGCUUUACUUUUAUAGUUGGCUAGGAUUUGUUUCAGGUUUUCCAAGAGAUCUUCAGACAUAAAUUCUUCAAACACCAUAUCGGCUUUUUCAUUUUGCUCAGCCAGGUAUUUCUACGAAGAGAAAGUUACAAGUGAGAUUUCCAACUUUCUUUUUUAACCUAAAAGACAUGGAGCUUGUGUCAGCACCAUGUGCAUCUUUUAUUAUUAUUCACUGCAUUUGGUAUCAGGCCAUCUAUCUAUAAUUUAUUAAAACUGGUUUCUUCAAUAAAAAAAAUAAUCAAAUAAACUCCAAGAUCUGACUUGAUAGUAAAGUAACCAGGUUAAAAACAGCUGUGUUUGACAGUGGCAUGCCACCACACUUUGUAAAUUCCUAGGGCACAAAUCUGAUCCAGAGGAGUUCUUGUGAACGAGACACAGCCGUGUUGCCUAUUAAAUCUCAACCCAUAGGCUGAUGGUAUAAAAGCCAGUCCUGUUCUUGAGGGAGGUUAGCAUGGCAGAACACAGAAGAAGCUUGGAUAAUUUGCUGAUUUUUAGGAAGCUUUAGAUCCCUCUUAAAUGUCAGCAGAGUGACUGGUAGCUCUGUGGCAUAAUCCCUCUUAUUCACAGACUUAAGACUUUUUUUUGCUAUUUCCUGGUACAAACCUUCAGAGAAAUCCCAGUUUCAUUGAAGUUAAUGGUGCAGGAUUUCACUCUUAAUAUCUAAGUAUGCCUCUUCUCUCCCCUAGUCUAUCAUUAGUUGUUUCCACAUUUCUCCUUCCUAUUAAUGUAUAUAUUUCAGAUUGGAAACAUGCAAUCUGCGUCUUGCACUUGGAUUACAGUGUCCUAACCAUUCACCUUCCCCAGACCAGAAGGAGCGCAGUGAAGCUCGUAAGCUUGUCCCUUUCACCAACAGAAGUUGGUCCAAUAAAUAUUACCUCACCUAGCUUGUGUCCAGUGGCCUAAGCAUUCAUCUCACUUCUGUAGCCAUCCCCUGCACAGUCACUGCAAGUGUAAUUCCAUUUUAGAAGGGACUUUGAUGACCCAAUACUUUCACUCACCCAGAUGAUUUACACAGCAAACUACACAUCCUUUAUGGCUUUAAGCCCUCUUGAUUAAAACUGUUUUCCAUGAACAAAGGUACUGGCACCAUUAAUUGUGAGGCAGAAGCUCUAGGGAUGGUCAGGAGCCCAAGUGCUAUUUCUACUUGUCAUUUCCCUGCCAAGUGCCCUUAGGUGAAUCCCUGGCCCCCUCUGUGCCUGUUUCCCUUCCCACAGUUUGUGUUAUCUACUUAGAACAUAAGCUUUUUGGGUCAAGGACAGUCUCUGCACAGCACCUAGUACAAGAUGUUGGGACCUCUAGCUGCUACUGUAAUGCAAACUAUAAAUCACAUCCCACCCUUUGCAGAUUGGUAAGUAGGCCUUUGAAAACUACAGGAGAGGCUACUGUCAUCUUUCCAAAAUGAUCUCUACACUUCUGAUAACGGAAGGUCUGAACAAGCUAGAACAUCCACCCACCUCAGCAGUACUGAACACCAACAAUUCACGUAUUUGGAGACUUCUAAUUUCUCCUUUUUCCAAUACAGCCCAGGAAGAACAAUUGCAAUUGUUACUGCUAUUUCACCCUACAUUCAAUCAGUGUGGUGACAGCUGUUUUCGGUGAGGUUGGCAGGGCAUGGUGCUGUACUUUAGCAGCACCGAAGCUUUUUGGCAAGAGGUUAGACAGUGGAAGCAUUACAAGGGGCCAUUUUACCAGUAGACUAGUUGCUUUACUGGCUCUGUUAAUAAUUUGAAGGGAAGGUAGGGAAGAUGAGCCAUGGAGUAUGAGCGUGUAUAUAUGACUAAGGCAAUCAGUCAUGAAAUAUCAAUACAAAGAACCCUAGAACAAGAGACUAUUCAGCUGCUAUUCCCAACACCACACACUGGUUGGGUGCUCUGCUUGCACAUGGCAGUUAGUUUCAGCACAUUUUUAAUCCACAUGGAAUUUACUAUUGUGUCCAUUUGGGAGAAAUUGUGGACUUUUCUGUACAGGAAGGAACAAGGUUCAGCAUGCCCAGACAAACAGGAGAGAGAUUUGUUCUUUCCAAGGAGCUUGGAGACACCAGUCACUUCCGAGAGAGAGUGACAGACACUUUUGGGGAGAACAGACCACCUCUUUCUUCAUAGCCUGCCAUGAACUGGGCAGGACAUGGGGAGAGAGAAUUAAAGAGGGGUGAAGUGGAAAUGAACUGACCGUAAAUUGCCUUUUGGGCAAUGUACAUUUCCUAACCCUGCUUUAGUGUUCAUAGUAAUGGGUGUGACUUACCUCUACAGACCCUACAUGAAAAGCCACCAUCUCCAAGACUUGGUACAAUUUAUCAAGCAUUUGCAUUUUCUCUUCAUUUGUUGUCCUCACAGCAAUCUGGUGCCUGAGGAAUACAAAUACAUUCCCUUAAUUGCAUGCCCAGGCCAAAGAGAAACCCCUUCAUUUUAAGGUUGACGUGUAAUAAAUGUUAGAAAAAUUCAACAGGCUGAAUAAUUUAAAAUCAAGACAAUUUAAAAGUCACCAAGUGGAAAGCCUCGGUUUAAAUAAUUGAUUUUAACCUACUUUUCCAUUUGUACUUCAGUUUCUUUCUACAGGAACGUGCACUCUCAUUGGUUGAUGAAACUAUUAAAACAUUAAUUUACAACUAAAGCCUUUUCACUAGAUUUAGUGCAUAUUUUUGCUACCUAAGAGGAUACACUAGAACUAUCUACAUUUAAGCAAUUAUGUAUCUUAAUAUUUUCAGAUUAACUAUACAUUUUUAAUAUGUUAGAAAAUGAUGAAUGAUGUUGCUUAUUUACUAGAUAAUUUACUUUUUGCUCUGAUUUGUGUCAAGCUGUAUUAGGAUGGUAACUUGUGUUUGUUUAAAUUCCAAACAGCAUAUAAAAUACCACCUUAAAUGUUUUGGAUAGAUAAUUUCUUAUCAAAGCACGUUCCACAUUUACAACUAAAUGAUUUAUUAAAAACGGAGAUUAACUGUACUCAGUGAAUUAAACUGGUUGUUUCAGGUAAGCCUGGGAAAAUUUUCAAAUGAAAGUGACAGUUUAAAUUCCUAGUCUCACCUAAGUCUCUUGAAAAUAAGACAGUCUCCUAAAUUACUCAAGCUGACCAUUGUGCCAUAUUUAAAAAGUUUGACCUCAAAAGUUAGACUCAGGAAGAACAUCUUUUAUAUAGAAAAGCAGCUAUUAACUCAGUUUGCUUUUUUAAAUCAAGGCUCAUGGAUUCAGCAUAUUUUUUUUAUUUAACAUUUUAAGAGAAUAAAUUUAGGCCUUAACAUUUUGUUUUAAAUCCAGAUUUUAAACAGGUUUAUUUUUAUACAAAAUUGUAAUUUAAAUAAAAUAAAAAUCCAAUUUAAAAUAAAAUCCAAUCCUGAAACUAAGACUAUAGAUAAAACUGAGUAUCUAUACAGUUUAUACAUUCUCUAGCAAACAUCUAGCCAAUUCAGCAUUAUCAGACAUUACAAUAACCUUACGUCUAAUCUCUCCCAAUCCAUUUUUAAAUCAGUCCAAAUAUAUCAAAAACUUUAUAAAGGCAUUGAAUCAUCCACGUACACUGGAGUAUUUUUAGGUAUUAUAUAUAGAUGUAGACUAAAAUGAUAAAUCUUAGUUACACAGCAAUAUUAUAAGUGCUUUAUAUUGUUAAAAUAUUAACAUUCUGCAGUUAUAUGUAUAGGGCUAGACUUUGAACGUACAUGGUUUAUGUAGCACGGCACAAGAUAAAGCAGGGGACUGGGACUCAGAUUUGAGUUCUAUUCCUGGCUUUGCCACUAGCCUGCUGGGUGAUUUUGGCCAAGCAUUUUACUUUUCAGUGCCGCAGUUUCCCCAUCUGUAAAAUGGAGGUAAUACGGACUUCCUUUGCAAAGCACUUUGAUAUCUACUGACGAAAGGCUAUAAGAGAUAGAAGGUAUAAUAUUAGGAUUUUUAUAUGUUCAGCAAAUGUGUCAAGUCUUAAGGGCCUUUCUGUAGAACUUGAAAACUCAGACUCUUGAUAGAUGGGACAUGGGGGUUGGUGUCACUGGAAUGUGUAAUAACUAACUUUCACAUGGCUGGAUAUUAGAGAAUGCAUGAACUGUAAAGGAUACUGAAACCUUUAACUACAGGAUUUCCUUUCUUACAGUCCAGUUACUAUUGAAAGUUAACUUCUGAAUUUCACAGUAUACGAAGAUGUGUCCAAACACAUACAGGUAUUUCGGACUCACUAUGGCAGACUCAGGGUAGCAAGGCUGGUUAGAAAUAGGCUUUUCCCCUCAAAUCAAUUUGGUCAGUCAAAAAAAAAAAAAAAGUUUUUCAAAAAGUGAAAAGGUUUUGGUUUCUUGACAAAGUCCAUUUUCCACUGAAAGUAGCAGGCACUUUUCUUAUGUUUGUCUUUAGUUGACUACUCAGAUUUCCAUUGAAACAGACAAAAUUUUAACCCGCUCUUGCUCUGCAGACACAAAUUAAUACUCCAUACUGCAAGGUUCUGGAAGUAGAGUGUAUUAGUGAUAUGGGAACCAUAGUAUAUGUGCAAGACUAAGGGCUAGUUAUGUACUCAGUCAAGGAAAUCUUAUACAAACUACAGAAAUUCACCAUGAAACCUCCAGAGUAUGGUCUUCUCUCUGCAUUGAUAUGCAGUAGACUUCUCAGGAAAAAUCUGUUUAAGAAAGAAAACAAAAAAAACCCCACACCUGGAUGUGCUGCACUUACUUCUUCUGAAUUUCAUGUAGCUCAUUCAUAGCUUCAUUGAGGCCCUCAUUGACUCCAGUCUCAAUUAAGUUUUUAUGUAUCUCUAGAGCUUGCAGUUCAGCUGCACUUUUUUCUUCUUCUUCUUCAGCCACCUAAGGAAGGAUAAACAAAUCCUGAUCAGCAACAUGUUCCUCAGACUAAGUUUACCCACCAAUAAUUAAAGUCCUAGAACUGGCUAGGAGAGUGGACCUCCUGCCAGCAGAGGAAUACAGGCAACCCCAAAGAAUUCCCCCUAUGAAAGGAUCAAACCAAGGCCUCAGCAGGACAAACUUCAACUAUUAACAAAAAUUGUUACUCCCUCCCUCCCCUUCCCUUCCUCCCCCCCACCCCUGCCCAAGAGUAUCAAUAUAACCAAAAAGCAACUGUUUAAAGAGGUGACAAAUAGCAGUGCAACUCACAAGCAUGUUUUAAAAGGCAAAGCAAGUGUUCCUGGGUAAAGGUCCAACAACCGUAUGGCAAGAUGGUGUGGAAUGGAAGAGGACUAUACAUGACUAGAGAUAGUCCCAAACUUAGAUCCCUUUAAUAAAACAACAAGUAACUCCUUAAAGGUUUCCUUUUCCUUUUAGGAGGAGCCAUUGUUCUCAUGGGCAGCCUGCCACUCAGCCCCCAAUCUGAAUGGGGUUCAAAAUGACUUAGCAAGAUCUCUGAAAAAAGAAACAGGAAGCAGCACUUCUCUCCUGUAUCCAUUAGAUCAGGAGUUCUCAAAGUUUAGCAACCCGAGCACCCCCAUUUUGAUUUAGUAUUUUUUGUGGACCCCCACGCUCGCUGCUCAGCCCCAGGCCCCACCCCCAUGGUGCCUUCCCCACCACUUUCUGCCCCCUCCCCUGAGCUUGCCUGUCCCUGCUACUCCCCCUCCCUCCCAGCACCUCCUGCACACCACUGGCAUCCAGGAGGCCCUGGGAGGGAGGGAGGGGGAGGAAUUGAUCAGCAGAGCCGCAGACCCCCCUGGAGUACCCUUGCAGACCCCAGUUUGGGAAAUGCUGCACUAGAUGAGUUGGGCAUUGUGUCAGGCAUGUAUUGUAAUGAGCCAGGCAGGCAUCAUGAGAGGCUGCACAUCCUGAAGUGUCCUUGCAGUACCAAAUCUGAAAUAUUUUGUGAGCCAUUUUAUUAUUAUUUUUUUAAAGGAGUUUUGCUCUGUCCAUGCAUGUUGGCACCUGCCUACACCAGCAUGCUGCCUGGAAUGGUUUUUUUAAGAACAGGCUUUUUCUUACCCCCGCCUCCCCUUAGUGAGGAACAUGUGAGAUUUGGACUGGAUUAAGGUAGUCCGGGGCCCUAAAAACAUCACCGUGUGGUGCAAGUGGACUCAAUUUCUGCUGUAGAGAAGCCAUCAACAAGGCAGAUCCAGGUCCAGAAAGGGUUGCGGAAAAAGGCUGCAACAAGAUAUUUGUUCCAAGAAAAAACUGGGUGUCUAAAUACUUCCAUCUGACCAGAAACUGGGUACCAUACCUGACAACUGUUCAGAGAGAAAUGGGAGGCAACAUAUCUCCAAGAACAAAUAACAUCCAAAGGGUGGGUGUGGGGAAGGGAGCUCUUCUGCUGGAAGUUAGGCAGAGGGAUAGCAGUUUCUACUCAUGAGAUGCCACCUAGAAGAGGACCAGCUGACUGUCCAAAGCCAUAGAAUGAUUCAUCAGGCUAAAUUCAGCAUGACAUAGGGUGUAAGUCAGUGCAGAAUUUAGUCCUACUCAUUCAAAGAUCUCUCAUUUAUUUUCACUUUAGAAAAGUAAAUUCCUACCUUGAGCUUCUGCUGGUGAUGGUCAUCCAGCUUUUGGGCUUCUUCUUUCAGCAGUUUUAUGUUGCUUUUCUUCUCUGCUAUCAUCUCAUUCAACUUCAAGAACAGAUUUGGUUUAAAAAAAAAACAAACAAAAAC